GAUGAAGAACGUAGCGAAAUGCGAUAGGUAGUGUGAAUUGCAGAUGUAACGUGAAUCAUCGAAUCUUUGAACGCAAAUUGCACUCUCUGGUAUUCCGGGGAGUAUGCCUGUUUGAGGGUCGCCAAAUCAACAUCGAAAUUCAUUUGCUUUUGUAAAUGUUUAUCGGAUUUGAGCCGUCUUUUAUUUUUUUAAUUUAAGUGGCUUAAAAUGUAUUUUUUGGUAUCGAAAAACGUUAUUUUACGAUCAAAUUGAUUAAAAAAACAAACGUUUCGAAUGCCGUCUUUUAAUGUAAUACGCUUGACUGUGGGUGUUAAUCAUAGUUUCAUUCGUAUACGAUUUUUUAAUUUUUGACCUCAAAUCAGGUAAGAACACCCGCUGAACUUAAGCAUAUCAAUAAGCGGAGGA
rnacentral:misc_RNA from 1 species